GAUCUAGAUGUCUCCUCGACUUUUGGAGAAGUGCAACCGACUGCAGCAACAGCUGAGACCACAGCGAAAACACAGAUUGAAGUUAUAAAGGGCUCUGGGGUGUUUUGCCAGGCAGAAGCGUGGAAAGC